UUAAAUUUGUCUGCACUGGCUGACCUUCAUGUCUUAAAGUAAUGAUGAACUGUCUCUCUUUGCUUAUUUGAGCUGUUCUUGGCAUAAUAUGGACUUGGUCUUUUACCAAAUAGGGUUAUCUUCUGUACACCGCCCUUACCUUGUCACAACACAACUGAUUGGCUCAAACAAAUGAACUUUUAAUAAGGCACACCUGUUAAUUUAAAUGCAUUCCAGGUGACUACCUCAUGAAGCUGGUUGAGAGAAUGCCAAGAGUAUGCAAAGCUGUCAUCAAGACAAUGGGUGGCUUCUUUGAAGAAUCUCAAUAUAAAAUAUAUUUUGAUUUGUUUAACACUUUAUUGGUUACUACAUGAUUCUAUAUGUGUUAUUGCACUGUUUUAAUGUAUUCACUAUUAUUCUACAAUGUAGAAAAUAGUCAAAAUAAAGAAAAACCCUGGAAUGAGGGGGUGUGUCCAAACUUUUGACUGGUGAUGUAAAUAAGAGCUCAAGCUCAAUAGAUAGGAAGUUGAAUCAUAUCUACAUAUCACUUGUCGCUCCAACAGGUGGAGAAAGAGCAUGAGAGAGACACAGGCUUGUUAUGGGAACGGGUUCAGGAAAAAGUAUAAGACCUGCUCCCUCUGGUUUCAAUCCAGCAAAUUAGUCAAAUUAGAAUCUGGAACCGCUCUUCCCCAAAUGCAUCUGGCUGGCUAGUCUUUUCGUUUCCAUGGCAAUACCAGCGAAGCUUCCUGGAUGGUAGGCAUCAAUAACCACCCAAUCAAGAGUUUAGGCUUAGUGCUAGUGAGGUGCCGCAGGCUCCGGGGCCCGCAUUCACAAAAGGUCUGAGUAGGACUGCUGCUAAAGGAUCCGUUUUGCCUUUUAGAUCAUAAUGCAUACGAUUAUACGGACAGGAGGGACCCUACUCUGAAACACAUUUUUAAUACGGGCCCUGGAUUUACUACACGGAGACUUGAUCCUCAGGCAGCAGCAACCAGUCGUGAACACACGGGGAAGGUGACCAGGCUGUAUGGAAGGAAAAGGAACAGAUGUGGGUCCAGGAUGUCGAAAAUGUCCUCAGUUCAAUGGCUAGGCAACUGUGUGCUUCCCUGGAUAAAUAUCCUCGCCACGAGCCUGGGGAUGGCUCAAACCACUUCUCCCCUUCCUUCCAAGACUGGUUUCCCUCCCGUCAUCCAGCCCUUACUUACAGACAGCUGUAGGUCCUCUACACCCACAGACUGAAGAGCCAUGGAACAUAUUGCUCGGCAGCUAAAAUGGACAAUGGCAGAACGAAGCCU
rnacentral:lncRNA from 13 species